rnacentral:rRNA from 1 species
AACGAACGCUGGCGGCAUGCCUAACACAUGCAAGUCGAACGAGGCCUUCGGGGCUAGUGGCGCACGGGUGCGUAACGCGUGGGAACCUGCCCUUAGGUUCGGAAUAACUCCCCGAAAGGGGUGCUAAUACCGGAUAAUGUCUUCGGACCAAAGAUUUAUCGCCUUUGGAUGGGCCCGCGUUGGAUUAGCUAGUUGGUAGGGUAAAAGCCUACCAAGGCGACGAUCCAUAGCUGGUCUGAGAGGAUGAUCAGCCACACUGGGACUGAGACACGGCCCAGACUCCUACGGGAGGCAGCAGUGGGGAAUAUUGGACAAUGGGCGAAAGCCUGAUCCAGCAAUGCCGCGUGAGUGAUGAAGGCCUUAGGGUUGUAAAGCUCUUUUAACCGGGAUGAUAAUGACAGUACCGGGAGAAUAAGCUCCGGCCAACUCCGUG